rnacentral:rRNA from 1 species
GAUGAACGCUGGCGGCGUGCCUAAUACAUGCAAGUCGAGCGAACGGACGAGAAGCUUGCUUCGCUGAUGUUAGCGGCGGACGGGGGAGGAACACGUGGAUAACCUACCUAUAAGACUGGGAUAACUUCGGGAAACCGGAGCUAAGACCGGAUGAUAUUUUGAACCGCAUGGUUCAAAAGUGAAAGACGGUCUUGCUGUCACUGAUAGAUGGAUCCGCGCUGCAUUAGCUAGUUGGUAAGGUAACGGCUUACCAAGGCAACGAUGAAUAGCCGACCUGAGAGGGUGAUCGGCCACACUGGAACUGAGACACGGUCCAGACUCCUACGGGAGGCAGCAGUAGGGAAUCUUCCGCAAUGGGCGAAAGCCUGACGGAGCAACGCCGCGUGAGUGAUGAAGGUCUUCGGAUCGUAAAACUCUGUUAUUAGCGAAGAACAUAUGUGUAAGUAACUGUGCACAUCUUGACGGUACCUAAUCAGAAAGCCACGGCUAACUACGUG